rnacentral:rRNA from 1 species
AUACGUAGGUGACAAGCGUUAUCCGGAUUUACUGGGCGUAAAGGGCGUGUAGGCGGUCUUGCAAGUCAGAAGUGAAAUUCCUGAGCUCAACUCGGGCGCUGCUUCUGAAACUGCAGGACUUGAGUGCUGGAGGGGAUAGCGGAAUUCCUAGUGGAGCGGUAAAAUGCGCAGAUAUUAGGAAGAACACCGGUGGCGAAGGCGGCUAUCUGGACAGUAACGGACGCUGAGGCGCGAAAGCGUGGGAACCAAACAGGAUUAGAUACCCGGGUAGUCCACGCCUAAACGAUGAAUACUAGGUGUAGGGGGUAUCGACUCCCUCGGUGCCGCAGUUAACACAAUAAUAUUCCGCCUGGGGAGUACGGCCGCAAGGUUGAAACUCAAAUGAAUUGACGGGG